rnacentral:lncRNA from 1 species
UCUGGAAGGGUUUGUCUCUGUUGGUCCACUACAUUUUGAGGUGGAAGCAGGGAACCUGUGAAUUGGCCUGAAGAUUGUAGCCUUUGUAGCAGAUUAGGUUGUUGUAACUGCUGAUGAUGCGACUGAAGGGGCAUCAUCAGCUGCUGCUGGGAUGGCUGAUUUUGUGACUGUUGGCCUUGAGAAGAAAACACAACAUGAGAUGAUUGUUGGGGAAGCUCCCCUUGCUGAACUGGAUUCCUCGGCCUUAGCAUAUUUACCAAAUCUAUAGUCUGCUUCUCAUAGAUAGCCACCUUAUCCCUUAAUGCAGGUAUGACAUCUCUCUUUGACACCGAUAGGAAUAGUAUCAUUCGCUCCACCGCUGCCUUGAACUGUUUCAAUUUCUCAAACUGCUCUGAUCUUCGUUGCCGCGGAAGAGAACCCAUCUGGGGAGAAAAAGGAAUGUGCUCAAUAGGAAAAGAGACAACCACAUAGAUUCAAGCUACAACCUUUGUCAGUUUGGGAAGGAAAAUAAAUAUCCGACAAUUACUUUCCACCGGACAGUAAAAAUACCAAAUUUGUGUGACUUUCUUUUGCAAUAUCGAAUUGGUCUUGCAUAGAAACUCUCGCAGGUACUACUGUUCUGGAGGACAUACACACUACUCUCUUAGAAAAAAAAACUUACUUGCUGCACCCUGGAUGCAGCUCUCUGAUAGAUUACGGCAAGAUCAGGUAAGUACGCUUCUUGUAUAGUUUUGAUCUGCAAAGACAAAGCACCAUGGACACACACGGAUUACUCAUUACAAUGAUAUUUAUGUAAGAUCGCCUGUCGUGUUGCAUAUAUAUACAGCAAACUUAGUUGACAGCAAGACUAAGAAGCCGGAAGCAAUACCCAAAUUAGAAAAAAAGAAAACUACCUUUUGGAAAACCUCCUCUUGCCAAUCAACCGCAUUUCCACUUUCCGUCUGUGCCGUGGAGUCUAGCGAUGUUACAAUUAAUAAAUAAAUAAAAGGUUUUGUUGAGCAUCAGAUCCUAAAGUAUUCACAAGGAUGUAAAGGCAUACAUGAUGGCAUCUCCUGGAGGGUUCUUUGGGAUUGAUACAGUUGUUGUCUCUGUUGGUCUCCGGAAGGCCUCCAAUUGUUGUUAUCCAUCUAAGUGUUCCCUACGGUUACAAAAAUCUACAGAAAACAAACGACCACACACAGAGAUGAAUUAUAUUGACAAGAAUCAGAGCAGCCAAAGGCUAAUUCUAACAAGUUUGAGACACGGAAUCACCAACCAACCCUAAUAGAGAAUCAAAACCAAAUUUUUCAUUUUUGUUUACUCUUGUUAACAAAAAAAAGCGACAGACUCAACCUCAAAGUAGCAUAUCGUAAAACGAGUAAGCAUACUGUGUCAAUCACACCAAAAAAAAAGAAGGUUAAAUCUAUUCUCCUAAAUAGUAUGAGAACCACAAUCUGUAAAGCGCGAUAGCGAAAUAAUAUGUCUUCUCGAGACUACUGAUCACAAUAGAAAACGAAAUUCUAAAAUUUCACCUCGAGGCGAUUUCACGGGUUGUUACAAAGGAGUAGGAUUGAUCGGGAUGAAGAAAGGAUGACCAAGUUUUCAAUGUCGUCGCGCGGCUUUUAAAUUACCAAAAACCCCUACAAUUAAUGAUCAAUUACUGUAUAAUCUUGCCAAGUGUCAACUACAAGUUCACUAAACCCCAAAUUUAAUUGACCCACCAAUAUAAAGACGGCGCUUAGUCUCAUCAUGUGCUUUAAUUUUUUCAAUUGAUGUUUGAUGUCGGAGAAACCAGAAAUCAUCCCAAUUCCCAAUGGCAUACACUCGACCAUGUAUGGUUUAUUCAUGCCUUUUCUUGUUUUUCUUUUUAAGAGCAUCUCCAAAAAGAAACUCUAUUUUGAAGUUUCCAAAACUCUAUAUUUGAAGUUUCAAUGUGUUCUUCUCCAAAAGUAAAACUUCAAACCUAACUUCAAAAUUAUUUAUAUUUUACACUAUGGUCCUUAUAUUUGUCAUAGUUGAUGUAAAUUCAUAAAAUUUCUAUAAAUAACUAGUACAUAUAUAUAAAUAUUACAGAAAUAUUAAUUAAAAAAAUCUUACACUAAACGAUAAAAUUAUAAAUAAAAGUACAUACUUAAAUAUUAAACUGCAAACAAAUAUUAUAUUAUUCCAUGAAAUUAUUUCUAUAAUGCUCCCAUAUAUGAUCAAUUAGUGCAUUUCGAAGUAAGAAAUGAUUCUCUUUAUUUUUUAUUUGUAGAUUACGAGCCAAAAAUUGUUGAAAUCGGAUAUCCUCAUAAUAUGGCUGCUGAUAGUUUGAUAUUAUCAAACGAAAAAAUCCUUGAUCUUUUAAACGAAAGUAUAACAAGCAAGGAAAAAGGUCAUGAGAUGAUUGAAUUAUGACUACAAAAUAAAGCAAAAAAGUUAGCUUUUAAAAAAGUAAAAGAGAAAAAUAAAAUAUUGCUAAAAAACUUAGCUUCUAUCAAUCAUGUUAAUAUUCGUGAAUACAUUCGAUCUAAACAAGAAAGAAUCAUACGAAAAAUGCGUCAAGAGCAACAACAACAAUCAUCUUUGGUUACACAAAAUUUGUUUGGACGAUAUUUUGUAGAUUUUUGAGGUUCCGGAGCAAAUUUACCAUACUAUUAGUGUUGUCAUAAUAUUUAAAUUUGAGUAAUAAUUAUGUCUUCAUGUGUCUUUUUAAUAAGUUUGUAUUAUGGUUUUUUGUAAUAUUCUUGUUGUUUAAUUCUAGUUUUAAAAUAUUAUAAAUCUUGUUUAAAAAUUUUUUAUUUAAUUUCAUGUGUAAAAAUUAAAUUUAUAAAACAAAUUUAAAAUAUUUAUGAGAUAUAAAUUUUUUAAAGAUUAAAACAAUAAACAAAAAAAUAUUUAAGAAUUAUAAAUAUGAUGUAUAAUUGUAAGGACCAAAAUGCAAAUAAAAAGAUGAAACUUCAAAUUUGAAGUUUUGAAAAGUGAAACUCUAUAUUUGGAGUUUCACUCUUCAAAACUUCAAAUUUGAAGUUUUGAAGUUCCUUUUUGGAGAGCAAAAAACUCUAUAUUUGGAGUUAUAGAGUUUCUUUUGGAGAUGCUCUAACUCUUCAAGGUGUGUUCUUUAUAUACAAAUAUAAAUUAUGGACUAGCUUUCCUUAGGAAGUUUUACGCCGUUUUGAAAACUCCUCUUGUUUGAUUUCGCUUCCCUCUUCCAUACUCUGCAUCCUUGAGGAUAUUUUGCUCAAGUAAUCCACAACAUCAAGAACGAAAUAAGGGGUGGAUGAUAUCAAGGAUAAAUGAACACAUUGAGGUUAAUAAAGAAAAAAAUAAAAAAGUGAAACCUGACUUGUCGCGGUGUUGAAAAUUAACUCCUCGAAGCUGACAGCAACUCUCAUGAGCUCUUCGAUUCCUUCUUUCCCAGAAUAUGGAAUAUGUUUCUUCAGUGUUUCCAAUCUACUCAAAUGACAAAAGUAACUUGUCUAUCUAGAACCAUAUUCAUAGUGUCAAAGCAAUACAACAAAACUUUGUGAAACAUUCUACUUCUACAGAAUUUUGAUCAUUAAAUUGACUUAUGAAUGACAAAAGAGUAGCAAGAGUGAGAAAAUAUGACAAAUUUGGAAGAGGAACAAAACUCACAAUGUGUUGACAUUCUUCUGGCGUGAACCUGGUGGAUGUUGAGUUCUCCAGUCACCUCUGUUUAUGCCAAUAUUACCUAUGUGGACAAAACAAAGCAUUAAGUUCAGAUUUCUAACUCCAUUCAAAAGAAACAAAUCAAGUGGGAAAAUGGAUGCAGCUGACCUACAACAUCGAUUUAUUAAUUACACCAAGAAAAUGGAUUGCAUCUACAGAUUUGCUUGACUAGAAUGAUUACCGUUCUGAGGUUGCGGAAGCUGCCCUUGCUGUACUGGCUUCCUCGGCCUGUGCCUAUUUAAGAAACUUAUAAUCUGCGUCUCAUAAAAAUCCACCUUAUCCUUUAAUGCAGGCAUGAUAUUGCUCUUUGAAAUCAAUAGGAAUCGUAUCAUUCGUUCCAACAUUAUCUUGAAUUGUUUCAAUUUCUCAAAGUCCUUUAAUCUUUGCUGCUGCGGUAGUGAAUACUGCUGGAGAGAAAGAAAAAAAAAUCUGUUCAAUAGGAAAAGAGACAAAGCACAUAGAUGCAUGCAAGCUAGAACCUUGGUGGGUAUGAGAAGGAACAUAACUAUCAGAUGUUUACAUACGAGCCUCAAGAGCAUAUUUUCGUGAAAUGGUUAACAAGAUACCAAAGUGUUUGCAUUAAAUUCAUAGAAAUUCUCCCAGCUACUAGUGUUUCGGAGGACAUACACACACUACUCUCUUAGAGAAAAAAAAUAUCGUAACGUACUUUCUCCAACUUGGCUGAAGCUCUCUGGUAGAUUUCGUGAAGUUCUGCUAAGUACUUUUCGUUUAUAGUUCUGAUCUGCAUAGACAAAGCACCAUGUUUUCACACGAUUAUUCAUUACAGUGAUACUCUUUGUCUUAUUGCAUCUAUCUCUUGACACUUUAAUAAGCGUAGACAGAAUUAGUACUAUAUAUAGCGAACUUAUUUUAUCUCCCAGAAUUCAGCAAGAGUAAGAGGACACUACAGAAGCAUUAACUAGAAAGAAACAACUAUCUUUUGGUAAACCUCCUCUUGCCAAUCAACACCAUUUGCACUUUCCAUCUGAUGCUCAGCAUCAGAUCCUGCUGAGGUGGGAUUAUGUAAAGUAUGAGAACCUAAAGUAUUCACAAGGAUGUAGAAAAAGCAUACAUGAUGGAAUCUCCGGAAGGGUUCUUUGGGAUUGAUAUAGUUGGUCCACUACAUUUUGAGGUGGAAGCAGAGAACCUGUGACUUGACCUGAAGAUUGUAGCCUCUGUUGCACAUCCUGUUGUAGCAGAUUAGGUUGUUGUUGCAAACCUAACUGCUGAUGAUGCGACUGUUGGCCCCGAAACAGAAACAAGCCAUGAGCAGCCUGAUGCAGCCCAACGGUUGGCUGUGAUAACAUGUGCACCGACUGCUGGUUAGUCUGGGAACUGAGCAACUGAUGUUGUGGUUGCUGCAGUCCUGCAACACUUCUUUGAGUGCCCAAUGGUUGCUGAUGAAGGCUGUUUUGUUGAGACAUCAAAUGCUGUGGCAACGGAUUUCUCCAGUCACCAGGUUCUCCUUUUGGAACGGAAGGUCUCCAAUUGUUGUUAUCCAUCACCUGUUCCUUACGACCACACACAAGACAAUCCGAUUUUAUGCCAAGAUUCAGAGCAGCUAGGCUAAUAAUGAUAGCAAGUUUGAGCCACGGAAUCACCAAUUCCAAAGAAAAUUAAAAUCAGUUGACUUCACUGAUCAGUCAAUUUUUUUCAUUUCUGUUUGCUAUUGGUAGCAAGAAAGAGACAGAGUCAACCUCAAAGUAGCAUAUCCGAGAAAACGAGUAAGCUCAAUCACACCAACAAAGUCAAAUCUAUUCUCCUAAAUAGUAUUAAGAACCGAGAACCACAAUCAAUAAAGCUUGAUGGGCUAUAUAGUAGUAUGUCUUCACGAGACUCCCGAUCCACAAGAUUUGAAAAUUUAACUUGUAUUAAACUUGUAUCAUUCGCUCCAACAUUGUCUUUAAUUGUUUCAAUCUAUUAAACUGCAGAGAUCUUUGUUGAUGCGGAAAAUAAUUCUGCUCGAGACAAAAAAAAGAAUGUUUUCAACAAGAAAGAGACGAGCACAUAGAUUGCAAGCUAAAGGAACAUAAAUAUCCGAUGUUUACUUUCUAGUGGACAGUAAAAAUACGAGCAUCUUUUGGUGCAAUGGUUUUCAAGAUGCCAAAGUUGUAUGACUUUCUUUUGCAAUAUCGAACCGGUCUUGCAUUGAAUUCAUAGGGAAUUCUCGCUCAGAUACUCUACUGAUUCGGAGGACAUACACUCUACUCUCCUAGAAAAAUAUAUCGCAACUUACUUGCUGCAACUUGGCUGCAACUCUCUGUUUGACUUCUUUUAGAUCUGAUAAGUACGUAUCUCUCAAAGUUUUGAUCUGCAAAGACAAGCACAAAGAUCACACGGUUACUCAUUACGAUGAUAACAAAAUAAGAUCACCUGCCGUGCUGCAUUUAUCUCUUUUAGAUUUAAUAAACGUAGACAGAAUAGGUAUAUAGAUAGCAAACUUAUUUAAUCUCCCCCAAACACUUAUGAGUACUGACGGCAAGACUAAGAGGCCUGAAGCAUUACCCAAACUAGUAAGAAAAACUACCUUUUGGUAAACCUCCUCUUGCCAAUCAACAGCAUUUCCACUUUCCGUCUGUGCCAUGGAGUUUAACAAUGCUACAAUUUAUAAAAAUGGGGUUUGUUCAGCAUCAGAUCCAGCUGAGGGAUUAACUUAUGUAAAGUAUUCACAAGGAUGUAAACGCAUACACACAGGAUGGAAUCUCUGGAAGGGUUUGUCUCUGUUGGUCCACUACAUUUUGAGGUGGAAGCAGGGAACCUGUGAAUUGGCCUGAAGAUUGUAGCCUUUGUAGCAGAUUAGGUUGUUGUAACUGCUGAUGAUGCGACUGAAGGGGCAUCAUCAGCUGCUGCUGGGAUGGCUGAUUUUGUGACUGUUGGCCUUGAGAAGAAAACACAACAUGAGAUGAUUGUUGGGGAAGCUCCCCUUGCUGAACUGGAUUCCUCGGCCUUAGC